AACUUUCAUAACUCCACCUGGAUGCUGGCCACCUUUCCCUUCUCAGCUCUGUCUUUGGCUUCGUGCCACUCCCUUAUUCUCUGAUCCUCCCUUUUCUUAUCUCUAACGAGGAGAAGGGGCCUAGAUGAAAAAUAACAAGAUCCCACGUUGCUCAGUGAAGCAGGAGUCAAGGGUCCCCCCAAAAGCCUUGUUCUUCAUACU
rnacentral:lncRNA from 1 species